UCCAUUUUUGCACUCUACAGCAACUGAUGCACCUGCACAAACGAACACACAUUAGGUAGCCAUUUUUUGGUUGGCUUUAGCCAAUCCAAAAUGCUAACACUAAGUGCCUGUUGGGUUGAAUGGAAUUUUACCUCAAAGAAUGAAAAGUUUGAAGGAAGAGUUAAAUCCUGGAACAACAAGGCUAAGGAGCUGAAAUUUACCUGCCAUGAAGUGACUGUUCCUGGAGAAAUCAUGCUGAAAACAUGUGUCGCAGUAGACAGUGCCAACAACAACUGGGGUAAGAAGCUUCUUAUCAUGGCUGCCAUCUGAGAAGCUAGUAAGUGUGAGAUUGAGAAUCAGAACUAAUAGGAACCAAGACAUUCUUCCCCUAGUUCUCUGAAACUCUGCCUAUGAGUAAAAAAAGGGAAAAUUGGACACAAACUUUCAUAUAGAACCCUACCCUUGAUGGACUAUUUAUGCCAAUCAUGCAAUAGCCACAGAUUCUGAUGGAAUGGUUUGAAAAAUGCCAAAUCCUACAGUUGGGUCCCUGCAGGUUCACGAGACCAAGAAAGUGGCCACAUGUUCUGUAAGUUCAUGAGACAUGGCUGAUGAUGACAAAAGACAAAGGAAAUAUACAAUUUUUUUAUGUUGCGGUUGCCAUUACUUCAUCAACUUUGUCUAUGUUUAUUUAACAGAGUUUAGAUAAAUUUUUUAGGUUAUAAAAAGCACAUGAAAAAAGGUUUAAGAAAAUCAUUCCAAAGUCGUUGCGGAAAUGCAGCAAGUCACUAUCUUCACUUCACGGGUUCACAAAAGGCUUGUUCACGGACGAAGGUUUCGCAUGUUCUAAUCAAAGAGGGCCAAUCAUUGAUGAAUCCAACAUAUGAAGUGGGGAAGGAAUUGGAGGCAAAGAGAUGGAGUGAAACCAAAACCUCCCAUUUUAUAUGUUUGGUAUGGUUGAAUUGGCUUCUCUGUGGAAGUCACUUCCAUUAAAAUUGAUGGAACUGAGUUUCACAUCCAACCCCAUGGAACCCAAUUUCACUUUCAUCUAAGCUCCAACUUUGACCAUUUUGCCCUACCCCCAUCUCUCCUUGUUAUUAACACUACGGAACGAUGAAGAGGACUGUGAAACAUAGGGCAUUGACUUUGCCGUCAAUGAUGUCGACAAUGAUGACUUUGGCAAAGAUGAAACCCACGACGAUGGGUUGAAUCUUAUACUCAACACGAAUGGACGAUGGACGACAGUAACUCUUUCAUUUUCUAAUUGAAUCCUCUCUUUGAUUUCUGUCUGUUGAUUCUUGUUAUCUGGUGAGUCAUCAAAGAUGAGGAACAAUGAGGAGAGGUUAAGAUUUUUUUUUUUUUUACAGAUCUGUAAUAUUUCUGGAUUGUUUUUUCGUUUGAAUGCUAUGAGGAACAACUGUAAAGAAAAAUAUAGGUUUUGUAUUUCCCAUUGA